GAGUUUGAUCAUGGCUCAGGAUGAACGCUAGCGGCAGGCUUAACACAUGCAAGUCGAGGGGUAUAGUUCUUCGGAAUUAGAGACCGGCGCACGGGUGCGUAACGCGUAUGCAAUCUACCUUUCACAGAGGGAUAGCCCAGAGAAAUUUGGAUUAAUACCUCAUAGUAUAACGACUCCGCAUGGAGAUGUUAUUAAAGUCACAACGGUGAAAGAUGAGCAUGCGUCCCAUUAGCUAGUUGGUAAGGUAACGGCUUACCAAGGCUACGAUGGGUAGGGGUCCUGAGAGGGAGAUCCCCCACACUGGUACUGAGACACGGACCAGACUCCUACGGGAG
rnacentral:rRNA from 1 species